rnacentral:pre_miRNA from 1 species
ACAACAUUCGGACGGUCGGUCUACGUUACAAUUUCACCCGCUCGGUGGAAGGUAUUCCCUACGUCGU